GGUGAAUGCUGGCGGCGUGGAUAAGUCAUGCAAGUCAAGGGGGCCCGCAAGGGCAACCGGCAAACGAGGUAGUAACACGUAGGUAGACCCCCCAGAGUCGGGCAUAGCCAGCCGAAAGGUUGGGUAAUUCCCGAUAGUCCCGAAAGGGUAAAGGUUUUUCGCUCUGGGAGUUGCCUGCGUAGUAUCAGCUAGUUGGUAGGGUAAUGGCCUACCAAGGCUACGACGCUUAGGGGAGCUGAGAGGCUGACCUCCACCGAUGGAACUGCGACACGGUCCAUACUCCUACGGGAGGCUGCAGACGAGAAUAUUCCGCAAUGGGCGAAAGCCUGACGGAGCGACGCCGCGUGAUUGAUGAAGUGCUUCGGUACGUAAAGAUCUUUAUCGGGGACGAAGUUUAUUGACGGUACCCGAUGAAUAAGGGGCUCCUAACUCUGUGCCAGCAGCGCGGUAAU
rnacentral:rRNA from 1 species